CACCGUGAGAUGGAAUCUGAAGGAAGUCGGAUGGCAAAUCUCUGGUAUAACGAACAGAAAUCACAUUAGGCUAUAGCUAAGGAUAGGGUUGCCGUACAAACCAAAGUCCAAUAACUACUCGGAAUUAGUUAUGGUAGAUGUGACAGAUAGAUGGAGAGAAAGAAAC
rnacentral:ncRNA from 1 species